CUCAACUGAUCCAAAUCAAAUUCCCAGGCCCAUUUGCCUUUAACUCCCAAUUCUCCUAGCAGCCCACCAAUGACUUGUACAUUGCCCUACUCCUCUUUCCCUUUCAACAAAUUGAAACCCAACUAAGCAAACAAAUUCCCAGCACGUCUCAACAUUGAAACACAACUUUCCCAACAUCCCACGCGCUUCUCUUCUUCCUCUUCGCGGGAACAAGCAACGUGUCGAGGCGACGCUGCGCAGCAAGUUCACGCCUUGGACGCGUGAAUCGUGUUCAUUGUGACCUUUUGUCGUCUUCUCUCUCUCUGUAGUGCUUUUAGCAGGAGCAGACCUGCAAACUCGUCCUUUGGCGUAGGAUUGAGACACGUCAAUGCCAAGGACAUGGAAAUUGAUCGAAGUCAUCCGUCCUUUUCCCUUUUCGGAAUGAAAUUGAAAGGUUCAGAAAAGCUUUGAUGGCCAAAAUGGUGAAAGAUUUUUUUUCAAAUUUUGAACGGAAGAUGGGACUCAAAUCCGGAUUUCGUUCCUUUCCCCCAAAAAUUUUUGUAGCCCUAAUCCUUGGCUAUAUAAGCUCGCUUUCUUGUCAUUCAGGGGGGGAUUCUUGAGCGGAAAAUACAAAAAAUAUACCUUAAGCAGAGUAAUAGAAGCAGGCGUUAAAAAUACUUUUUUAAGAAAAGGAGAUAGUCGAUUUCGGCUAGCUCUUCUGUUCUUUUGUUACUGGUGUUCCUCCCAACUUUCUUUGUCAAGAUUCUGAAAUGCAUCUGGGUCUCUUGCCGCUGUUCGGCCCUGUGCUCGGGGGUAGGAGUCACUUCUCAAUUCGUCGUCUCCGUUCGCUGCACAUAAGCAGAUUAAUGCGGUUCAUGUGACUAUCCUUUCCGCCUUCGGAAUUUUGUCCUAAGAUACUUUUAUGGGUAUCUUUGCAUUUAAAGUUUGUUCCCCUCUGUUAGGCUUAAUGUUGUAUAAUCUGCAUAUCAUAUUUCCUUAGUGAGUUUUUUUUUAGAAACAUGAUAGCACAUAUAGACACCAUCUCUAGUUGUUUUGCUUAUAACCUCCAUUGUCAUUUCUCUUUGGCCAUCAAUUUGUACGUUAGCUUAACUAGCAAUUUUGAGUAAGAUGGUUUGCUUAACCUCUUUACCUUGCUAUCUCUAGACAUAGUUAUUUACUCUGUUCUUUUAUUUAUUUAUUUAUUUUUUAUUUUAAUUUCUAGUGUUAUGUUCAAUUAAUUUGUUGUCUCCAUCUGUAUACGUCUUUGCUUCAUUGACUGAAGUUUGUAUUCUCCCCUCCCCCCUCGUAAGUUUACUUGAGAGUUCAAGAAAUAUGGUUUGUAUGUGGUCAUUUGUUCAACUUUUUUAGUUUAUCUAUUUAUUUAUUUUAUUUGUUUGAGUUGGGAAUCUUCCAUGAUAUAAUAGCGGUGUUUUCUUACGUGCAUUUAUCAAUCAUGAACUAUUUUUCCUUCAACUCCAACAACCUAUGCUGGCAAAGUCCUUUUAUUUUAUUCUUUCUAAAAAAAAUAAUAAGAAAACCAUGGCUUACAUUUCCAAGUUCUUUGUAUAUUAACUGUAUGCCUCUUUGAGAAAGGUCGGAGUCAAAUGAAAAAAUAUAUCUUCUAUUUCUAAUGCAUUUGUAGUGGUUCACUCUUGAUAUCAUUACACUUUUUGUCAUCUUAAUAAUGAGAUAAAUGGGUUUCCUUUUUGGUGUUCUAUUGUAGCUUGGCUUAUUUACAUGAUUUCUAUGCCUUUUGAGAGAGUUUUAAAUACCAUUCUUGUUGGUUAUUGUUGAUUGAGUUUAGUUUGAGUUUGUGUUUAGCUUCAAUCAAGUUUUUUUGCGGUUAUUUUUGUUUGUCUUACCAUUGUGAGUAGGUGCUAACUUUCGUUCAUGUUGUUCUUUUCACGUGAAACUCCUCUCGAGUCCAUUUGGACUCCAUUUCCUAUCCUUGCGUUUUCUUCUUGAGCCCUAAGGGCUCAAACUGUCUUCCCCGAUGUCGUUCAACCUCUAAAAUGGCGUACAGGGCAAAAAGCAGCACUCGUUUACCGAAAAUUAAUUUUCCACCACCCGGGAAGUCAAAAACAGGUUGAUAUACAUGUUAUAUACACCGGUAUGCAGAUGGGAUAUACCAAAAAUAGGUGCAAAAACGUGAAAAUGCAGAUCAUAAAAUACAGAAUACAAAAUUAGAUACAAUACAAGUUUCGGAAGGUUCAAAACCGGCUGUUUGUGCGUCAUAUACAGCGGUAUACAUUAAGUGUAUACCAGAUUUUUUAAAGAGAAAUGGAGUCAAAGCCCAUUUGAGUUCCCUGAAGAAUUUUAUGAGAAAUGGGCCAAGGCCCAAAAGAGAAAAGCAGAAAAAUGAAGGAAAACAUGGGCCAAAAUACAAGUUUAACUACUUCCUCUCACUAUGUUUUUACUAUUGAUUGACUAACCUUAUUGAAUUUCGGUUUUAAUUUAAUUAAUUCCCAGCGAUAGCUAUUUUUCUUUA